UUUCCGUAGGUGAACCUGCGGAAGGAUCAUUACCGAGUGCGGGUUCCAACGAGCCCAACCUCCCACCCGUGUUUACCAUGACCGCGUUGCCUCGGCGGGCCCACUGGGGCCUGGCCCCGGUCGCCGGGGGGCUUCUGCCCCCGGGUCCGCGCCCGCCGAAGCGCCCUGGAACCCUGUCUGAAUAGUGAGUCUGAGUGAAUGAUUUAAUCAUUAAAACUUUCAACAACGGAUCUCUUGGUUCCG
rnacentral:misc_RNA from 1 species